rnacentral:lncRNA from 1 species
UGGUUUCAAUCUUGCACCUCCAUAAUGGCUUCCUCAAGCUCUUGCCAAGCCAUGAGUCUUGCUGGUAGCUCUCUGGUAUUUUUUUUUUUUUGGUUACAAUGGCCUGUCAUAUUAAUUUCGCGUGAGUGCAACCAACUGAGUCAAGAAACAUAAUGUGGCAUGAUACAUAUCAGCCUAUGUCUAUGAAAUCUCUCCGGAAUGAUGGGUAGCAAAGGAGGCAAUCCAAUCUGACAUCCUGAUCGCCUCCUGAUAUAGAGAAGCAGCCUGAAAGGACUUACAAUCUCUUGCCAUCCGCUAAAUAUUCU